AUUGAACGCUGGCGGCAUGCCUUACACAUGCAAGUCGAACGGUAACAGGUCUUCGGAUGCUGACGAGUGGCGAACGGGUGAGUAAUGUAUCGGAACGUACCUUUCAGUGGGGGAUAACGUAGCGAAAGUUACGCUAAUACCGCAUAUUCUGUGAGCAGGAAAGCAGGGGAUCGCAAGACCUUGCGCUGAUUGAGCGGCCGAUAUCAGAUUAGCUAGUUGGUGAGGUAAAGGCUCACCAAGGCGACGAUCUGUAGCGGGUCUGAGAGGAUGAUCAGCGACACGGGAACGGAGACCCGGUCCAGACUCCUACGGGAGGCAGCAGUGGGGAAUUUUGGAGAAUGGGCGCAAGCCUGAUCCAGCCAUGCCGCGUGAGUGAAGAAGGCCUUCGGGUUGUAAAGCUCUUUCGGCCGGGAAGAAAUCGCAUGGGUUAAUACCCUGUGCGGAUGACGGUACCGGCAUAAGAAGCACCGGCUAACUACGUGCCAGCAGCCGCCGUAAGAC
rnacentral:rRNA from 1 species